CAGGUUGAUUCUGCCUGACCUGGAAGCUAGCCUCAGAGAUUAAGCCAUGCAAGCCAGCGAAGGUAACGGAGCGGCGUACGGCUCAGUAGGACAAGGAAAUCUAGCCACCAAGGAGGAUAACCGCGGUAAGCUGUGGCUAAAACAAGGUGGGUGAGUCCUUGGCCUAUCAGCUAGUCGGUACGGUAAAGGCGUACCGAGGCGAUNACGGGUAACGGGAAAUCAGGGUUUGGUUCCGGAGAGGACGGGAUACGGGGGAUCAGGGUUUGGUUCCGGAGAGG
rnacentral:rRNA from 1 species